GUCUGAAUUUCAGACAACCUUGUAUUCUUUUGCGAGCUGUUCAGGAUAGCUCGCAAUAGAAUACAAAGGUGUCUGAAAUUCAGAC